rnacentral:lncRNA from 10 species
AAAAGAAGAAAGCUUUUUGCUAGCAGAGAGGGGUUUCUGAGUAGGAGUUCCCCCUGUGAGGCUGGGGUUCAGGGUUAUUAUGGACUAGGAAUAAAAAGAAAUGUGCUUAGUUUGUGGGCUGUUUUGGAGAUCUUGUGACUUAGCUUGGCCUGGGACUAAUUAGAAAGCUUGGGCUGAGAUCUUGGCCCAGGACCAAUUAGAAGCUGAAAUGAUGAUAUAUAGAUGCUGCUUAGCUUGGCCCAGGACCUAUUAGAAGCUGAAGUGAAAGCUUGGCCUGGGACCUUGGCCUGGGACCAAUUAGGGUCUGAAAUGAUGAUUUAUAGGAGCCGCUGUAUAGUUUAAAUAAAGGUGAGUGCCCACUGGAGCCCACUGUGUUUAUGCCCACAAAAGGAGAAGAAACUUUUUGUGGAGCCCUCUGAUUAUAUAAAGGAUAAAGGCAUUUUAUACCAGGCCUUGUUUUUUAUUUGAGUGAGCUAGAGGUUUGUGCAAGUUUUUAUGUAAAUAGGCUGGAGGGUUUUUUUAUUUGUGCAGUUGUGGGCAUGUUUUUAGGCACAAUACUUUGUGCCUGUUUUUUUAUUGGUGCCUGCAGCUUGAAUUUUUUUUUCCAGGCUGCAUUUUACAUUAUAUGGGGUGGAGGCAAUGACUCAUGGGCUGGGGACUUUUCAGAGACCUUUCUGUUGCUAUUUACCUAAGGCAAGCAAACUUCUUUCAGUCUCCACUCAGGAGUGGAAACCCUAACUAUUUUUAUAGAGAUUAGGCAUUGGAUUUUUUUGGACUGCUUUUUGCUUGAAAGGGGCAUUGUGUAGGGAACAGUAGCUAGGAUUUUUUAGGGGGGGGUGCUAGUUUAAGGGUUUUUGGAAGAGGUGCACAUUUAUGUGUGUGUGUAUGUGUGUGUGUUGCACUGAUGCAAACAACUAUAUUGUUGUAAGUCAAGAAUAAUUUAACUAGUUUUUAGAUUUUAGAGGAGCUAGGCUGAGAGAAAGAAAUGCAUUUUAAAUUUUAUUUACAG